GGUCUCAUUUACUGUUAAAUCACAGGUUCCAAUCCCUGAGAAAUAAGUUCACCCCUGUGCAACUAGUUGCUGGUGAAUGAAAUUCUGUUGGGAGAGAAUUGAAGGUCAAUAUAUGCUGCAAGAUCUUACAUACUUAUUAGCCUUCAUAUGUGAUUUUCUUCUUUAAACUGAAAUGUGGACCCUUGGAAUGAAAGUUGUCCUCUCACCAAAACAGUUUAUAUGGUUUAAGUGGCAUGGGGUCGAGACCCGACAGGGACUCAAUUGGAUUAAUUUCAUCUCACGGGACGCGUAUACCGGGUUGUCCUCUUCAGCCCUUCCACUUUUCUUCCAUAUAUUCAAAUUCACGGAUUGAUUUUUUUUUUUUUUUUUGGCUGCUGUCAAAUAUAUGUUAUUUAUUCAGCACAUCUUCCUUAAUAUCUGUAUGUAAUGACAUAUUUGAAUAAAGGUUUUCCACUUGUAGAGCCACAGGGGUAGUGUGAAAAGAAGUGGUGGAUGAAGAGACCCAACUUUCAGUGAAGGAUGUGACCUGUCAAAUUAGGCUUUUUCUGCCAUUUUCUCCUAUGGUUAUUAUGUAAGAGUGGGGUUUAUCAUGUGCACACGCUCAAGUAGUGGCUGAUGAUUUUGAUGUGUACUAUAUUUGGUUGUAAUUGAUAUAAAGAUACAAAAAUAUUCCAAAAGAGGUGGCCGAGUGGAUUGAACAUGAUUUUUGUAUAAGAAAGUUACAAGUUUGAUUCUUGCCAA